UUAUAUGUUUCCUCAUGCAAAAAGAUGAUAGUAAAUAUAAGACCUCACCCUCUCUUUUAUCUCUUGUUCAGAAGACAUCUGUAUUCAAAUAUAAAUUUGUGCUGACAAAUACAUCUAAAGGGCAGUAGAUGUCUAUGAGAAUUGUGACCAAAACUGAUAUAUAUAUAUUUUAAAUUGGGACGUAGCUGUUUUACAAUGUUGUGUUAGUUUCUACUGUACAGCGAAGUGGAGUUCCCUGUGCUAUAUAGCAGGUUCUCAUUAGUUAUCUAUUUUUUACAUAUUAGUGUAUAUAUGUCAAUCCCCAUCUCCCAAGUCAUCCCACCCCCCGUUUCACCCCUUGGUGUCUAUACAUUAGUUCUCUAUGUCUGUGUCUCUAUUUCUGCCUUGCAAAUGAGUUCAUCUGUACCAUUUUUCUAGAUACGUUUUUUUAAAGGGAAACUGAGUGUGCUGGGUAAGGUGGAGGUGAAAGUGGUUGUGAAAGGUAAAAGGAAUAAGAACAAAAUUAAAAUGUAUCAAGAUCCAAAACAGGAGAAGAGAAAGCUCUCAAAGCAAAAGUGAAAGCAUGAGACAGGAAGAUAACGUGUGGGGUAGGCAGAUGGUAGAGAGGGUGGAAGCAGGACAGUGUCUGGGUCAAAGCAUCUGCAAGACACAGGAGAAAAAGAACAUCCAAAUUCAGAAGGAGACUAAUCCAGAGCUGAGCGCUCCUCUGAACGCAUCGUCACUAAGAUCAAUUGGCUCCUGCUGAAAAUUUUCAGACCACAUUUACCUGACUUCUGAGUCACGGCCUAUGACUCCAAGCAGAUCGAGAACCACUGACCUAGACAAUUGCAGGCACGGAAGGAAAUCUACCUGCUGUGCGGACCAAGUUUUAAUCAACGAACACAAAUAGCCAAGCAACCGACUUUGUGAAAAAUGAGCCCACUAUUUACUUUAAAGGAGUAGUCUCUAAAUGGGAAAUCAUUGCCUAUCCUCAAAAAGCAUGGUUACACACUGAUGCUACAGAAGUAAACUCUGAUGCUAGGAGGGGAUGAGACUCUGAAAGAAAUCAAGCUUUCUGCUUCUUCCCUCCCAGAGGAUCUUUUCAAGUCAAUAUCCCUGAAAGCCUAAAACAAAGCCACUUACAGACACAAGGUAAAUGCAAAACCUGUUAAUAUAAUGUUAGGGUUGAAUGUGUAAAUAUAUCAAAGGUCAAAUUUCAGUUACAGUUCCCAUAGCAAUUGGAACUUAGCCACUUAACACUUCAACUGUAACAACAACCCAGA